rnacentral:rRNA from 1 species
AUGGCGCCCAUCCGCAUGACGUGGCUAUCCCGGGACCGGGAUGAGAACCGCCGACGCAUGGCGGGGCUGCUGGCGCGCGGCGGCGUCACCAUGGUGCUCCCGGCCACGCUCGACGCGCUUGUGCUGCUCUGGCUCGCCCGGUGCUGCUACCUUAGAAGGUCGUCAGGCACAGCGCAGCGGAGUCCGGCGCUGACAGGCGUCCGCUGCGACAAAGAUUUGCACGUCAUCAUCAUCAACGCCAGCUGCGCUGGCCUCUCCGACACUCUCUCCGGCACCGACCUCGCCAACCUCAGAUACCUCACAGAGCUCGAUCUUAGCUUCAACAGCCUCGGCGACCCGGAGCUCCGCCUCGCGGCCGUGCUCGACCAGGCCACCGCGGGCAACCUAGAGUUCCGCCUCGCGGCCGUGUUCGACCAGGCCACCGCGGGCAACCUGCUCGCCUUCGCGCUCGAUGGCGCCGGUGAGCAGCGGCUGCAUGAGUGGGAAGGACGGCGCGAACGAGGCGCCCCGGGAGAAGGAGAAGAGCUGCGAGCGGGAAUGACGUCGCGGCGGAGAGGGCGCCCAUUGCUGGCGUGCUUGCUAGCAGCGGGCAGAGCGCGGCCGGCGCGGCCAACCGACGGGCGGGCGCCGGCGGUGCGGGGCCGGCCUGCGGGCGCGCGGGGAGGGGAGCGGUGGAGCUGCAGGGGAGUAGAGGGAGAGAGAGGGGAUUGA